AUCAUUGCUGCAUCACCGAGUCCCAUCCCUGAUUUUCCUUCAAAGAAGGAUCUCUUUGUUUAUCUCUGCCAUAACCCUCUCUUGAUUGAUGCAGGUCGCAAGAGUUUCUCACUGGAAAAACGGACCGGAAAGAAAUGUUACUUUCUAGGUGCAAGGGAUCUUCAAAUUACAUGGAGUGAUAGAUACACCCCAAUAUUGGAAAUGGACUUCACUACCAGAGUCAAGGUUUCCAGAGGUAGCUGAGCUCAUACAUGUUUGGUGGCUUGACAUUCGGGGCAAAAUAGGAGCUGGGAUGCUGUCACCUCGGACAUCCUACACAGCUUACCUUGUUUACAAGCUGGAAGAUGAAUAUGGUUUUGUUUAUCGACCCUCAGAGGUUUCAGUUGGAAUUUCUGGUGUUGAAGUCGACACGCGAUUAGCAUUUCUG
rnacentral:misc_RNA from 1 species